rnacentral:lncRNA from 1 species
CCUAGGCAGGUGGAGCAGUAAGGAGGGAAAUGUGGGGAUGACCGAGUUAAACAUUAAGUGCUGUGAGAGUUCAGGAAAAGACAGGGCUUUCUGGCUGAAGUCAUCAGAAAAGCCUGCACUGGGAAAAGGACUCAUGAGUGGUGUUUUAAGAAAGGAGAAACAAUGUGAGAACUGAAGAUCAAAUGGUUUCACUGGUGAAAGUACAGAAACACCCUCCACAGAAGCAACAUUCAAUAUUUCAUGGAAAAUAUGGAUUUCCCAGACACUGGACAUAUUGUUUUCUGAAACAUGAUUUGUGGAAACAGAGACCUGCCAUUAUAUUCCAAUGUGAAUGUCAACCAAAAGCAUCUCUGAAUAUGGAUCAUGCUGGCACCAGUGAAGACAGAUUUUCAGGAGGCCAGAUUGAAGUCAAGGAGAAUAGCACCAAUCCAGACACUAUAUAAUCAGGGUCUGCGUUGCAGCAAUACAGCAUGAAGAGGAUGUGUCAGAAUUAAAGCCUGUGCAACAGGUAAAAUCAUCCCAGGGAAUAAAGAAGAGGGAGAUGUAAAAACAGACUUUUGGGUAUCUGGCUUAGAAGAGAGUGCCAACAUCCAGGGCAGGGAAGGCAGGAGGGGGAGCCAUUUCUGGUGCAGCAGGGAAGUGGGGUGCAGUUUCAGACACUGGGCCUAAGAUGUCAGCCUUUGUGCCAAAUCAUGUCAUUAACAGAUUCCCCUCACCCAGUGCUUAAGUAUGGUACCAGAAUCAUAUCAAAGAUGUAGAUUUCAAGUGGGCAUUUAUGUAGUUACCCACUGACCACAGAUAUGGACAUCCAAACCAAGAGGAAGGGGAGGAGGGGGGAAAGGAAAGGAGGGGAAAUUAAUCAAAAUCACAAGAAUUUAAAGACACUGCUGAAACUCUCCAGGCUCUCAGAAAAAAAAAAGUGGGAAAAUAGAAAUGCACAAGACCUCUAGGGGAAAUGGAGAAUAAAAGAGUUAAAGCUAUUACAAGAAUUUAAAACUUUUGUUCAAAAUGGUUCUUUCUUAACC